rnacentral:misc_RNA from 1 species
GACAAGUUGAAAACAAGGUGAAGGCGAGCAUGUCUACAAUCGCUGGUGUCAAGCGGAAAAGAAACAGUAACGAAGAGGCACAUCAACCAAAGAAGACUUGUCGAAGAUAGUGCUAAAUUUGUUUUAUGUCUAGUUGUAUGGUUGUUUUCUUUCUCUGUUCUUGUUAUAAACUGUCAGCGCACAAAGCAUCUAUGCAUUUGCCAAAUUUUUUAUUUUCACAUUUUUUUAAUGUCAUAGGAAAUUUUUUAAUACUCAAGUAUUUCUCCUUACAAGAAAUUGAAAGGGGAAAUGAUUGUUUUUUCUUUCACUUUUGUUUUUAUUUAUUGAUAUUUUUUUUAACAUUCAGAUUGCAUCAAUCUUCAUAUUUGUAGCAUAUCUUAAAUAUCCAAUAGAAAAACAUCCUAUUAAAUUUUAAGUUAUAUUAACUAAGUAUUAAGAAAUGUUUGCUUUUAUGACAACAGAUGAAGGAAACAUCAAUAUGUUAUUUUUAUCUAAUCAUUCAUGGCAGCAAUAUCAUAUGUUAGUGUGUAUUUUUAUCAAAUUAUGGCACGUCAUAAUUUUAGUAUGUAGCAAUUCAUCUUCAUAGUUUAAUCCAUAUGUGUGUAGAAAGAGCAAUUUUUUAUGAAGUCUUUAAUAUAUGCAAUUUAAAAAGUACAAACAACUUAAUAUAUAGUUUUACUUUUGAGAAUAAGAGGCCGUCUUUUUUUUCUUUUUUUUUUUAAAGAAUUCUUUUGAGUCGUUUCAUUUUUCCUUCUUUUGCCAAAAAUUUCAAUGUUGACUUUUUUUUAAAUGAAAUUGAUUUUAAAAAAAUUUAAGUUUUGGUUCUUAUGAAAUUUUAUUUAUUUUACACAUGUACAUGUUACAAAUACAAUUAAGUUGAAUGAAAUUUUUUUUAACAAAAGUUUCAUGGUUUAGAUAAUCCUGCUCAUUUAGUUUACUUAUACAUGAUUUUUUGUUUAAUGAUAGAUUAAUUAUUGCUGGGUUUUUUCUUCUUUGUUAAAUGCAAACCAAUAUCUUUUCUUGAUUUGAUUGAUUUUGACUUUACAAGUUGUGUCCUAGGCUCAUAGCAUCACAAAAUUGUGUUAAAUUUGUCAAUCUUUGCAUGUAAAUUGGUCCAUUUCCUUUUUACUUCUAUUUAUGUUCUUAUCCUUUUCUGAACAAAUUUGAUGCUUGACUGAUAGCUAUUUAAGAUAACCAAAUAUAGGUCAUAACUAGUAAUUGCUUGAUGCUUAAAAAUGUGAAAGAUGUGUUUUUAUUUGAAAUUCCUGCUUUUACUUAAGUAGAGCUUUCUCUCUCUUGUUGCUUCCUCUCAGACAAAUUGUUGUCUUAUGAAAUUUCACAUUUUCUGUACCCACCAAGGAAGACAAAUCUUGUAUGCCUCAGUUUUCUGAUGUAUUACAUGUGAAAAUUUAAGAAUUAACUUUUUGCCAUAUCUGUUUCAGUGAAAUCUUGCUUAAAGGGUAAAUCUGAUUAUUAGAAAUAAAAAUCAGAUAGAAAGCUGAUAAACGGUCUGUUGAUGAUACCAAUAAAGCCGUCUGGUAAAAUGUUUAAAUAAAAAAGCAGACCAACAACCUUAUACUGAUAUGAAGAAAAUUAUAAGUGUUAUUUGGUGAGUAGAAAAUGUAAUGCAAAAGUAUUAUUCAUUUUAUGCCAUUUUCAGAAGCAAAGAAUAUUGUACUUUGAAUUGCCUUUGAAUGUUGUAAAUACUGAUUUAUGUGUACAGUGAUCAGAUGGUAAAAUAUUUUCAAAUGUUCACAAGUUGAACACUUCAGGGAUUUUUUGCUUUCAUGAACAGUAUAUUUUCAUGUGAACAAAUUCAUAUUGUAGAUAUAUAUGACAGUGAUCAACAAAACCAUGUACAUAGUGUUGAAACAAUUAAAACCUAUUUUAUAA